GGCACGGAAAAGGCCAGGCGACAGGUGUCGCUUGAAAAGACUGGGCUUGUCCUUGCUGGUGCAUGCGUCGUCGGCCUCUGGGCAGCAGUUGUUGCCUAAAUUUCCACAAAUAUAUGCCUUGCUGGAGUGCAGUGGUGUGAUCUUGGCUUACUGCAACCUCCACCUCCCGGGUUCAAGUGAUUCUCCUGCUUCAGUCUCCUGAGUAGCUGGAAAUACAGGUUUACAAAGGACGAAAACGACUUCUUCUAGAUUUUUUUUCAGUUUCUUCUAUAAAUCAAAACAUCUCAAAAUGGAGACCUAAAAUCCUUAAAGGGACUUAGUCUAAUCUCGGGAGGUAGUUUUGUGCAUGGGUAAACAAAUUAAGUAUUAACUGGUGUUUUACUGUCCAAAGAAUGCUAAUUUUAUAAACAUGAUCGAGUUAUAUAAGGUAUAACCAUAAUGAGUUUGAUUUUGAAUUUGAUUUGUGGAAGUAAAGGAGAAGUGAUUCUAGCUGGGGCAUAUUGUUAAAGCAUUUUUUUCAGAGUUGGCCAGGCAGUCUCCUACUGGCACAUUCUCCCAUUAUGUAGAAUAGAAAUAGUACCUGUGUUUGGGAAAGAUUUUAAAAUGAGUGACAGUUAUUUGGAA
rnacentral:sRNA from 1 species